CGUGCACACACACACACACACACACACACACACGUGUUUCUACCCAGCAGACCUCAGCACAAUGCUUUGCAUAUUGAAGGAACUCAACUAUACGUUGAAUUAAAAACAAAAACAAAAACGGGGCCAAGCAUGCUCCAAUGAUGAGAAAGAUACCUUUAACCAAGGAUUAUAUUUAAUACAACUUUAUAUCUGAGGUCCAAAAGCAAAGUUCCUGGGAGCAAAGAACAGGGGUGCAAAGAUGCCAUAAUGACUAAUGAGGGAACCUUCGUUGGGAAAGAGGGCACAGAAACCCCCCGCCAGUCUGGGCCCCUCUGACACACUUCCAGCACAGUUGCAGCUAGCUUAUCACAUGUGCUAUCAUUUAUACAAUGUCUGUCUCCACAACCAGACUGUGGGUCCCACCCUGGAUAUGGUCACAUUACAGGACUCAGUAAGUAGUUGACAGCCCGAAGGAAAAAUCCUCACCAUCAUCCAGAGAAGCAACACAGACCACAAAGAAGGAAUUUACCCCAGAGCAAUGAUUGAAGAUGGAUGUCAAGAUAUACUUACAAUGUUCAAAAACAGGAAACCAAAUGGCCAACCGCUUGAGUUAGAUUGGUAAAAAUACUCUGCAGUCAUCAAAAA